GACGAACGCUGGCGGCGUGCUUAACACAUGCAAGUCGAACGGAAAGGCCCUGCUUGCAGGGUGCUCGAGUGGCGAACGGGUGAGUAACACGUGGGUGAUCUGCCCCUUACUUUGGGAUAAGCCUGGGAAACUGGGUCUAAUACUGGAUAGGACCAUGCUGUAGGGGGUGUGGUGGAAAGAUUAGUUUCGGUAAGGGAUGAGCUCGCGGCCUAUCAGCUUGUUGGUGGGGUAGUGGCCUACCAAGGCGUCGACGGGUAGCCGGCCUGAGAGGGUGGACGGCAACAUUGGGACUGAGAUACGGCGCAGCAGCCUACGGGAGGCAGCAGUGGGGACAAUUGCACAAUGGGCGUAAGCCUGAUGCAGCGACGCCGCGUGGGUGAUGACGGCCUUCGGGUUGUAAACUCCUUUCAGCCAUGACGAAGCCCUUGUGGUGACGGUAGUGGUAGAAGAAGCACCGGCUAACUACGUG
rnacentral:rRNA from 1 species